CCUACGGGAGGCUGCAGUGGGGAAUAUUGGGCAAUGGGCGCAAGCCUGACCCAGCAACGCCGCGUGAAGGAAGAAGGCUUUCGGGUUGUAAACUUCUUUUCUCAGGGACGAAGAAAGUGACGGUACCUGAGGAAUAAGCCACGGCUAACUACGUGCCAGCAGCCGCGGUAAUACGUAGGUUGCAAGCGUUAUCAGGAUUUAUGGGGUUUAAAGGUUGCGUAGGCUGUGCGGUAAGUCAGCGGUGAAAUGCCCCCGCUCAACGGGGUGAAGUGCCAUUGCUACUGCCUUGCUGGAAUGUGGAUGCCGUGGGAGGAAUGUGUGGUGGAGCGGUGAAAUGCAUAGAUAUCACACAGAACACCGAUUGCGAAGGCAUCUCACGAAUCCGCGAUGGACGCUGAUGCACGAAAGCGUGGGUAUCAAACAGGAUUAGAUACCCCGGUAGUC
rnacentral:rRNA from 1 species